CUGAUGCCAGUGAAUCCGACGUAUUAUUCUCUGGGGUCCAGUGUGCAUGGGCUUCGAACAGCAACCUCUUUGUGUAGUCUGUUGCUUGUUUGGGUUAAUUGAAGUAAGGGAUCUUGCAGACAGCC
rnacentral:snoRNA from 1 species